UACAGAGGGUGCAAGCGUUGUUCGGAAUUAUUGGGCGUAAAGGGAGUGUAGGCUGUGAGGUAAGUCUUCUGUGAAAUCUACGGGCUUAGCCUGUAAAGUGCAGAGGAAACUGCUUCGCUUGAGUGUCGGAGAGGAUAGGGGAAUACCCAGUGUAGAGGUGAAAUUCGUAGAGAUUGGGUGGAACACCAGUGGCGAAGGCGCCUAUCUGGCUGACAACUGACGCUGAGACUCGAAAGCAUGGGGAGCAAACAGGAUUAGAUACCCUGGUAGUCCAUGCCGUAAACGAUGAUAGCUAGAUGUGUGAGGUAUUGACCCCUUACGUGUCGAAGUUAACGCGAUAAGCUAUCCGCCUGGGGAGUACGGACGCAAGUUUAAA
rnacentral:rRNA from 1 species